AUUGAACGCUGGCGGCAUGCCUUACACAUGCAAGUCGAACGGUAACACGUCUUCCGUUGCUGACUAGUGUCGACCGGGGGCGUAUUACAUCCGAAUGUGCCCCCUCGUUGUGAGUCACGAAUCGCUACCUUUGCUAAUACCUCAUAACGUCUACUGAUUAAAGCCGGAUACCUCAAUGCCUUGCGCGAACUUAGCUGCCGCUGUCAGAUUAGGUAGUUGGUGGGAUAACAGCUUACCAAGCCGACGAUCUGUAGCUGGUCUGAGAGGACGACCAGCCACACUGGGACUGAGACACGGCCCAGACUCCUACGGGAGGCAGCAGUGGGGAAUUUUGGACAAUGGGCGAAAGCCUGACCCAGCAAUGCCGCGUGAAGGAUGAAGGCCUUCGGGUUGUAAACUGCUUUUGUACGGAACGAAAAGAUGCUGGUGAAUGUCUGGGGUUCAUGACGGUACCGUAAGAAUAAGCACCGGCUAACUACGUG
rnacentral:rRNA from 1 species